rnacentral:rRNA from 1 species
UACGGGGGGGGCAAGCGUUGUUCGGAAUUACUGGGCGUAAAGGGCUCGUAGGCGGCCAAUUAAGUCAGACGUGAAAUCCCCAGGCUCAACCUGGGAACUGCGUCUGAUACUGGAUGGCUUGAAUCCGGGAGAGGGAUGUGGAAUUCCAGGUGUAGCGGUGAAAUGCGUAGAUAUCUGGAGGAACACCGGUGGCGAAGGCGGCAUCCUGGACCGGUAUUGACGCUGAGGAGCGAAAGCGUGGGGAGCGAACAGG